GUCUAUGACCAUGCCACUCUGAACAUGCCCGAUUUUGUCUGACCUCGGAAGCUAAGCAGGCCGGGCCUGGUUAGUACUUGGAUGGGAGACUACCUUGGAAUACUAGGUGCUGUAGGCU
ensembl:rRNA 5S_rRNA 5S ribosomal RNA